rnacentral:rRNA from 1 species
GAUGAACGCUGGCGGCGUGCCUAAUACAUGCAAGUCGAGCGAACGGACGAGACGCUUGCUUCUCUGAUGUUAGCGGCGGACGGGUGAGUAACACGUGGAUAACCUACCUAUAAGACUGGGAUAACUUCGGGAAACCGGAGCUAAUACCGGAUAAUAUUUUGAACCGCAUGGUUCAAAAGUGAAAGACGGUCUUGCUGUCACUUAUCGGUGGAUCCGCGCUGCAUUAGCUAGUUGGGAAGGUAACGGCUUACCAAGGCAACGAUGCAUAGCCGACCUGAGAGGGGGAUCGGCCACACUGGAACUGGGACACGGUCCAGGCGCCUACGGGAGGCAGCAGUAGGGAAUCUUCCGCAAUGGGCGAAAGCCUGACGGAGCAACGCCGCGUGAGUUAUGAAGGUCUUCGGAUCGUAAAACUCUGUUAUUAGGGAAGAACAUAUGUGUAAGUAACUGUGCACAUCUUGACGGUACCUAAUCAGAAAGCCACGGCUAACUACGUG